rnacentral:rRNA from 1 species
UUACUCUAUGACAUACCAGAGAACUUUCCAGAGAUGGAUUGGUGCCUUCGGGAACUAUGAGACAGGUGGUGCAUGGCUGUCGUCAGCUCGUGUUGUGAAAUGUUGGGUUAAGUCCCGCAACGAGCGCAACCCUUAUCCUUACUUGCCAGCGGGUAAUGCCGGGAACUUUAGGGAGNCUGCCGGUGAUAAACCGGAGGAAGGUGGGGAGGACGUCAAGUCAUCAUGGCCCUUACGAGUAGGGCUACACACGUGCUNCAAUGGUCGGUACAGAGGGUUGCGAAACCGCGAGGUGGAGCUAAUCUCAUAAAGCCGGUCGUAGUCCGCAUUGGAGUCUGCAACUCGACUCCACGAAGUCGGAAUCGCUAGUAAUCGUGGAUCAGAAUACCCCGGUGAAUACGUUCCCGGGGGUUGUACACACCGCCCGUCACACCAUGGGAGUGGUCUGCACCAGAAGUAGAUAGCUUAACNUUCGGGAGGGCGUUUACCCCGCUGUGGUUCAUUUCUGGNANNNAGUCCUAACAAGGUAACCCAAGGGGNAAANCCCNCACACUGGGGGGCCUUUNUAGAGAGNACGAAGANNCUNNG